GAGUUGUUUGGGAAUGCUGCUCAAAAUGGGAGGUAAACCCCUUCUAAAGCUAAAUACCGGCCAGAGACCGAUAGCGCACAAGUAGAGUGAUCGAAAGAUGAAAAGCACUUUGAAAAGAGAGUUAAAAAGCACGUGAAAUUGUUAAAAGGGAAGCGCUUGCGACCAGACUUGCGCCCGUCGGAUCAACCGUCGCUUGCGGCGGCGCACUCCGGCGGGCUCAGGCCAGCAUCAGUUCGUCUGGGGGGAGAAAGGCGGCGGGAAUGUGGCUCUUCGGARUGUUAUAGCCCGCCGCGUAAUACCCCCGGGUGGACUGAGGACCGCGCGUAUGCAAGGAUGCUGGCGUAAUGGUCGUCAGCNACCCGUCUUGAAACACG
rnacentral:rRNA from 1 species